CACCGCCCGUCACAUCAUGAAAGCCGCUUGUACCCGAAGUCACUGUGCCAACCGCAAGGGGGCAGGUGCCGAAGGUAUGGGUGGUGAUUGGGAUGAAGUCGUAAACAAGGUACC
rnacentral:rRNA from 1 species